rnacentral:rRNA from 1 species
UACGUAGGGGGCAAGCGUUGUCCGGAUUUAUUGGGCGUAAAGAGCGUGUAGGCGGCCAAGCAGGUCCGCUGUGAAAACUCGAGGCUCAACCUCGAGACGUCGGUGGAAACCGUUUGGCUAGAGUCCGGAAGAGGAGAGUGGAAUUCCCGGUGUAGCGGUGAAAUGCGCAGAUAUCGGGAAGAACACCAAUGGCGAAGGCAGCUCUCUGGGACGGUACUGACGCUGAGACGCGAAAGCGUGGGGAGCGAACAGG